AGUGAACUCCCAUAGGCGUGGUCGAAACGGUAUCGCGCUAUUGCAGUUACCUGAAAACAAGAAGAUUAAAGGACGCUGCUGGCGGCGUUCACUUUAAUCUUCCACAACAAAUUAGCGUACCCGAGUCAGAGGCGGACUGCCAGCCACAGGGCCCAGCAUCUUAUUCACACACAAGCGCCAGUGUUCUGUACCAGCACC